rnacentral:rRNA from 1 species
GAUGAACGCUAGCGGCAGGCCUAACACAUGCAAGUCGAGGGGCAUCAUAAAACAAGCUUGCUUGUUUGGUGGCGACCGGCGCACGGGUGCGUAACGCGUAUGCAACCUACCCUGUACUGGGGGAUAGCCCGGAGAAAUUCGGAUUAAGACCCCAUAGUAUUCUUGAAUGGCAUCAUUUGAGGAUUAAAGGUUACGGUACAGGAUGGGCAUGCGUCCUAUUAGCUAGAUGGUGAGGUAACGGCUUACCAUGGCAACGAUAGGUAGGGGGCCUGAGAGGGUGGUCCCCCACACUGGUACUGAGACACGGACCAAACUCCUACGGGAGGCAGCAGUGAGGAAUAUUGGUCAAUGGGCGCAAGCCUGAACCAGCCAUGCCGCGUGCAGAAAGACGGUCCUAUGGAUUGUAAACUGCUUUUAUUUGGGAAUAAACCUCUUUACGUGUAGAGAGCUGAAGGUACCAAAUGAAUAAGCACCGGCUAACUCCGUGCCAGCCGCCGCCGUAAGAC